AUGGCAGACAGCAGCCGCGAUACCGUCUUCGACGACCUGCCCGAGUGGCUCAUCGUCGACGAGAUCCUCUCCCGGUUGCCAGCCAAAGACGUACUCCGCUGCCGCGCAGUCCGCAAGUCGUGGCGCAGCACCACUUCCACCGACACAUUCAUCCUUCAGCACCACCACCAUCAACCCUCGCUCCCCAUCAUCGAGCACCUAAACGGCAUUUGCCGCCUCAACAGGGCCUCCAAUGAUCAAAAGAUACUGCCAGUCCUACAGUAUGCAGGCAGAAGCCCUAUUACAGGGGUCGACCUUAUGCACCGCGCCGUCUGUGAUGGCCUCAUCAUCCUGGCGCAGAAGCCUGAUUACUACAUCUGUAACCCGGCCACUCGCAAGUGUGCUUCCCUGCCACGCCCUCCACUACAGUCAGGCUUCAGCAACGACGAAAUAGUCGGCUUCUACCGGCACCAGCCAUCUGGAGAAUAUCGGAUGCUCUGGGCGUCAUACUCCAUACCCAUCAGGGUUGAAUUGCCUGAUUACUUUGUCCUCACAGUGGGAUCACACCAGCCAAGACGCAUCCAGUGGCAGGCAGUUUCAGAAAAAGGGUUUCCCGCUAUGUCGGCCCGUGAUUGUCCACCGGUCCAUCAUCGUGGUAGCCUGCACUGGGCAGUGGGCCUCGACAUAGCGGUAUUUGAUCCCGUAGCCGAGACAUUCUGGCACAUGAGCCGCCCAGCGCAGUUGGGUGAUAUGGUGUCAUUGUUUGAUACUGCCGGCGGCGCACUCGCUUUGUGCCGCACUGAUCGUACCUACGUCACUUUGGAUGUUUGGGUGUUGCAGGACUAUGAUGCCGAAACCUGGGGCUUUCAGUACCAUAUUAACUUGUUAGCGAUGGUGGCAUCGCCGCCGCUUGAUUUGAGGAUCAAAUAUGUCCCUAGGAUGGCUGUUAUCAAUGAGCAUGAGCUGGUUAUCGAUUAUCCUGACCGUCUGCUGCAUUGUAACAUUGAUGGUGUGUUUGUAGCAAAUCUGGAAAGCGAAGAGCAUGGAAACUACUUGAUGCUCACUCGGCAUCGUCUCCAAGAGAGCAUGAUUUCACUUCCAUUGUUUGAGAAGCAAGAAGAAGAUGCUGUGAACAAGGAGCCUCCAUUCCUCAUGGUGCUAUAA
rnacentral:rRNA from 1 species